rnacentral:lncRNA from 1 species
ACCGUGCAACCUAGUCCUUCGUAUUCACAUUUGUUUAAGUUGUAGGAAGGAGACGAAAGCAAUUAGAAACACAUAUUGCUGGAUUUGCCGAACUAACGGACUUCAUCUUUUUCAAAUAUCAAACUGGUACGUAGGUAAAGUUUUUAAUAAAUAUACUUUAAAAAUCAUCAAUAUCUGGGACACAAAAACUGACAGACUUAAAAAGAUCACUAAUUUUGUUAAAGUACGUAGAAACAAGACUCCAGCAUUUAUCUUUGAUGUGAGGGGUGG